AUUCACUUCAGGACAUGACAGUGAGUCUGUCAAUAGUAGUUCAUGUGAGACCCUGGUGGUAUGAACAUAAGUGAUGAUGUGGGCCCCAGCACAGACCAUCUGAUUUGCAUAUGCAUGGGCAAGUGAUUAAGUGUUCUAACACUUUGAGUUACCGUGAUUUUUUUUUUUUUGGCAAGUAUUCGGGGAAAAAAAAUGAUGGUUUUACCAACUGUAGAAAACACAAGUUUUCACUUGUAUAUUUCAGGAAGGUUUAUGUUGAACACUGUGAGGCAUUACAUACAUCCAAGUAUUUAUCUUGUGUUCUCUUCGUAGUACUAUUUAUAUGAUAUUUAGAAGCGUCCGAGGGGCGCCUGGGUGGCGCAGUCGGUUGAGCGUCCGACUUCAGCCAGUUCACGAUCUCGUGGUCCGUGAGUUCAAGCCCCGCGUCAGGCUCUGGGCUGAUGGCUCCGAGCCUGGAGCCUGUUUCUGAUUCUGUGUCUCCCUCUCUCUCUGCCCCUCCCCCGUUCAUGCUCUGUCUCUCUCUGUCCCAAAAAUAAAUAAACGUUGAAAAAAAAAUUUUUUUAGAAGCGUCCGAACACUGAGUUUUCUGACCUUGUUGCUAACUUUUAAUUACAAGUAUUCAGAGUUGGUUUGUUCCAUAAUGAUGAAGUGAACAAUCUUUUUUGCAGGUGUCAUGGUAGAAAAAGUUGUUUCCAUUAACCCUGAUUUCGUAACGUGUUUUCCAGAUCCUUGUCAAGACCUCAGGAUGAACUUAGCAGCAGUCAUUAAUAGGGGCGGAUAUCCUGUUGAUACGCAGGUGUCCUGUAAAGAAAUACUGUCUUCCCUGACAACAAUGGUCUUGAUCUUGGAGUACUGCAAGCGUUCAGGUUCCUUCAAGAUCCUGAAGCACUUAACAGUGGUCGGUAAUGGGGGACAUUUCUUGUGUCCAGGUUCCGGUCAAGAAAUCAUGGUAUGCCUCAUAAUGACCAUGAACAGAACUUUGCUCGCAGCCAGGCUCAGGUUAAGACAUCAUGGGGAGUAUAUCCUUCGUGGUAAAUGAGGCACAUAGCAGGUAUGGAGGUAAGUGAUGAUGUGGGCCUGAAUCACAGCACAGACCAUCUGAUUCUAUAUGCAGGUAAGGUAUUAUGGUCCUAACACUUCUUGUUACUAUGAUUUUGUUACAGGUGUUCAGGUAAGAGAUAGUCCUUACCAAAUCUAGUGACCUUGACUUUAUACGUUUUACAUUUUAGAGAUAAACGUUUAACCCUGUGAGUUUUGAGAGCUGAUUGUAUCCAUAACUGUUAAUUUCCCACCCCAGUAGUAACCACAGUGUAUUUGCAGGAAGUCUGCUUCAGACAUGAUGGCCUUCUUCUGAUGAAGGUGUUGACCUGAGUUGAUGCAAACGUCAAG
rnacentral:lncRNA from 1 species